rnacentral:lncRNA from 1 species
AAAGAAAAGUGAGGAGGAAAAAUACUUUUAUUUAUUCAAAUGCACAAAAACGAAAAAAAAAAAAAUGGCACUGGCCAGGGACCCUGCAGGAGUGUGGCCCAGAUGUGCUGGGCUGCCCAGGGCCUCUGGUCACUAUGGGCAUCGCCUGCCUAUGUCUAGGAGUUGCUUCCUGGUCCUGGGGAUAGGUGCACUGGGAGUGACCACAGAGGUCAGGGCUGACUUGAUUUUUCUGAGAUGGUCCUGACUGCCCUCAAUGUUGCUCACUUCCAGUCGUGGGUUGGUGGGCUGAGGGGAGAGGCCAUGUUGCCCCACCCCCACCCCCACCUACUUCCCAAAGUAGUUGUGAAGACGGUGCUGGUGUCUCCCACUCCCUUCCCACCCCGCGAUGGUGCUCAUGUUCGGCAGGCCUGUUCCUGUGCACCACAGCUAACUAAGGUGCUGCAGAGCAGGAUAGCCGAAACAAAAGCUAGCAAAUCCCAGGCCUGGAACAAAACCCCGAGUGAACACUGUACACACCGCCCGCACGCCAUCCUGGCAGCUGCUGCUCCAGCAGCCAUUGCCUCCACCUUACUUGAGUGUUAGGGGACAGACACAGCAUGUUCAUGGCCCAGUGGGCCACAGGUGCUCUGGGUACAACUGCAAGUCCUUUCCUGAGCCCAUAAGAAACAGGAACCCACAGUAAACUGACCAUGGUGCAUAGUGGCCCCAGGUACCCUGUGACUGAUGGGCCUAGUACAGGGUAAGGCUGCCUCAGUCAUCCUUGCCACUCCAAUCCAAGGUUGCUGCAGGGCUUUGAGCUCAGGAACUGAUAGAAAGCCCUACAGACUGGGACCACCACUCCCACACUAGCCCAGACGGGACACACCUCCCAGUUCCCACCCUCAACCUACACAGCUUUUUUGACAGCCUGGCCUGUUUGUUUGUAACUUGAUGCAGCAUCGCUCUGUCUUGUGAUGACCUCUGUACUUAAAGGGUGCAUUGUUCUCUUCCCUUGGUUCCCCCAAGGCAUCUCACACAUUGUUGCUGCCUUUAGACACAGUAUAAUAAAUAAAGCCGUUUUCACU